GUGAACGCUGGCGGUAGGCCUAACACCUGCAAGUCGAACGGCAGCACAGUAAGAGCUUGCUCUUACGGGUGGCGAGUGGCGGACGGGUGAGGAAUACAUCGGAAUCUACUUUUUCGUGGGGGAUAACGUAGGGAAACUUACGCUAAUACCGCAUACGACCUACGGGUGAAAGCAGGGGAUCGUCGGACCUUGCGCGAUUGAAUGAGCCGAUGUCGGAUUAGCUAGUUGGCGGGGUAAAGGCCCACCAAGGCGACGAUCCGUAGCUGGUCUGAGAGGAUGAUCAGCCACACUGGAACUGAGACACGGUCCAGACUCCUACGGGAGGCAGCAGUGGGGAAUAUUGGACAAUGGGCGCAAGCCUGAUCCAGCCAUACCGCGUGGGUGAAGAAGGCCUUCGGGUUGUAAAGCCCUUUUGUUGGGAAAGAAAAGCAGCAGGUUAAUACCCCGCUGUUCUGACGGUACCCAAAGAAUAAGCACCGGCUAACUUCGUG
rnacentral:rRNA from 1 species